UCUUUGUCAAAAUGUCUUACAGGAAAGAAGAGGCACUCCAGGCUGAGGAAAGAGAACAUUCCAGCGAUAUAGAAGAGUAGGACUAGGAGCCCAAAGCUCAAAAUGCUCCAGGUUUUCUUACCUGGCUGGAUAUCAUGAAGCAUUUGGAGUGUUGGUGCAGGAAUCUGCAGAGAGAUGGUGAGAGAGGCUCGCGUCUGACGUGUCCUGGAUCUCCAGUCUCUUCAAAGCAGAGUGGAAGCCAGGACGGGAGGAGGGAUCCCAGGGUGGGAGACGGCGAGGGAGGCUGCAGAGGCAAGCGCUGUGAAGCUCCUGCCUUGAGGCCCUUGGGACUUCUGAGACUUCCCUCCCUCUGUGCUUUCAACCUAUAAAGGCUGCCUCUUUGAUCUAAAGGAGAAAAAUGGAUUCAGCCUCCAGGUUAAUGCUAUUUGCUGAGUGUUUGAGAGAGGCCGCAUGUUGCAAGGGCGAGCAUCACAGGCACACUGCGGCUGCGGGGAUAAACCUGUGUGGAGCACCGCGUGCUUCUCCGUAAAGCCCGGGAAACAGGCCCUGCCCCACGCUCUGAAGGGGCACAUCUCAUCAGACAGCUGCUGUUACAUUGUGCUCCGCAGAACCACGGUGGCCUGUGAGAGUACAUAUUCAAUCAGUUCAUGCAUCUGGGUCCAGGUGAUGUGGUGCAGGUGCUUUGAAUGAAUUCUUGCUUGUCCGUGUCACAGCUUGGCUACAGGCCCUCUGAACAGUUUUGCUGACGUGCCCGAAGGAGAGAUCUGUUGCUGAUAUACUAUGACCUUUGCUGCAAUCACAAACUGCUUUGGCUUAGGUCUCCAAGACUCAGUGUUGAUUCUCUCCAGUGACUAGGAGCGGGGUCUGGGUCACCGUCGCUCACCAUCCUGCUCGGCCCCAGGAAGUGACCACAGCCCUGACUGCCGUUGAAACACUUGAGUUUGUCUUAUCUAAUUGGGUUUUGGUGCCGAUUAUCUGGCCUUCCUCCAUUCCCUCCCACAUACCCUUCCCAAUGUAACCUCAUUUAUUAAAAUUCAAUUAUUGUCACUGA